AUACGUAGGUGGCAAACGUUAUCCGGAAUUAUUGGGCGUAAAGAGUGAGCAGGCGGUUAAUUAAGUCUGAGGUUAAAGCGUGGGGCUCAACCCCAUAAAGCCUUGGAAACUGAUUGACUAGAGUACGGGAGAAGUGAAGGGAACUCCAUGUGUAUCGGUGAAAUGCGUAGAUAUAUGGAAGAACACCAGUGGCGAAGGCGCUUCACUAGCCCGAAACUGACGCUCAGUCACGAAAGCGUGGGUAGCAAAUAGGAUUAGAUACCCUAGUAGUCCACGCUGUAAACGAUGACAACUAAAUAUUGCCGCGAGGCAGUGUUGAAGCUAACGCAUUAAGUUGUCCGCCUGGGGAGUACGGUCGCAAGACUGAAACUCAAAUGAAUUGACGGGG
rnacentral:rRNA from 1 species